rnacentral:tRNA from 1 species
UUCAUCGUUAGGAAGCGUUUUGGUUCCAAACUUGACUGUUAAUCAAUUGGUCGUAGGUUCGAUCCCUACCGCCGGAGCCA